AUACGAAGGGGGCUAGCGUUGUUCGGAAUUACUGGGCGUAAAGCGCAUGUAGGCGGACAUUUAAGUCAGGGGUGAAGCGGCCGGCACACCGGAACUGCCUUUGAUACUGGGUGUCUAGAGUGUGGAAGAGGUAAGUGGAAUUCCGAGUGUAGAGGUGAAAUUCGUAGAUAUUCGGAGGAACACCAGUGGCGAAGGCGGCUUACUGGUCCAUUACUGACGCUGAGGUGCGAAAGCGUGGGGAGC
rnacentral:rRNA from 1 species